UAUGACUCUCGGCAAUGGAUAUCUUGGCUCUUGCAUCGAUGAAGAGCGCAGCGAAAUGCGAUACGUGGUGUGAAUUGCAGAAUCCCGUGAACCAUCAAAUCUUUGAACGCAAGUUGCGCCUGACGCCAAUUGGCUAAGGGCACGUCCGCCUGGGCGUCAAGCAUU
rnacentral:rRNA from 1 species